GAAAAUAUUGGAGAAAUUAUGAUCUGAGAGAUGUAAGAUAGGGCCUUAAGCAAAUCACAAAUGCAGAAGCUCAUCCCUCUCCAAACGUCAUAAAAACAUAAACCGGUUAAUCGAUUUCGAGAAUUUCCUAUUUUUACCAGCACUAGACAGAACCUGAGAACAUUACUUGUUUAUAUAAAAAUAUGCUAUGAGAAUGAUAUAAACUAAAGCAGGAAGGGAUGAAGUACAGUGACGUUUGUGCCCGAAUCAGGCUCUAUCCCUCUCCCAAACCUUAACAAAAUUUAAAU